rnacentral:rRNA from 1 species
AUGACAGUACCCAUGGCAGAAGAACCGGGCAACUACGGCGACUACUACGUCCUCACCAUUGAACCUGAACCAGAUCAGCCUGCCGUCGACGACGCCGAGAGCAGCAACGACGACGACCCGACGAUCCUUCUGCUUGGCAUGCUGGGGCUGUGCCUUUUGCUCGUGAUCUGUGCAGGCUUCUCCUUCUUCAUCCGAGGUCUGGAGCCCGGGUACUCGGUCCAGUUGACAGGAGUCCAAGGGCUUGACCCCUCGCAGAACCCUGCCGUCUCGCCGGCCUUCAACCUCACCGUCCACGUCAACAACAAGCAGCACAUGCGGCGAGUCUGCCAGGAGGAGAGCUACCUGGUCGUGUACUACGAUGAAUCGAGCGGAGACGCUAACAACACAAGCAUCGGAUGGGGCAAGCUGCCCGCCUUCUGCGUGGAGAGGUGGUCGGCCAGGGAUCUCGACGUGUCCUUGUCUAGUCAUGGCGUGUUCCUCUCUCGGAGGUUGCAGGAGAAGAUGGAGUCGCACCGGCAAAGCCAAAAAAUGGAGCUAAGCGUUGAGAUCAAGCCAACCCGUCCGGAGGAGUCCUCUAGGCCAUGCCUCACCUUGUGUGAGGGCAAGUACGGCCGGUCCCUCGCAGCUGCCCCGGCGAUGCUGUGCUACACAGUAUGUGCGAGUGCGACAUAA